ensembl:lncRNA
AUGUCCGCGUCGGUCGAUAUCCACGCGCAGCUGGCGUCGAUCCUCGAGCGCUUCGCCAAAUGCGCGCUGCUGGAGAUGAGUCGCGCGGUGGAGCAGGAGAUGACGCGCCGCCAGAUGGAGACGGAGACGCUGCUGGUCAAGCUUCAGUUCACCGAGAGCGAGCUGCGAUCGGCGCGACAGAGUCAGGCGUACCCGCGCUCCGUGGGAACACAAGUCAACAACAGCGGACAGAGAGAGGUGAACCUCAACCUUGUGAAGUUCAAUGAAAACUUUGACGGAGAAACACAGACAGAGACGUACACAGACGAUUCUUCAGCACAGACAUUCGCACUGAAUGUAAGCAUUGCUUCGAUUCUUUAGAUUAGAUUCUUAUUCAGUAUGUUAUAUAGUAUCUUGGUUUCUUGUCAUUCCCAGAUACAGGAAGAUGGAAUCAAAUCCAUUCGGAUCAAAGAGGAGCACAUGGAUGAAGGACAGUGGGACAGCGGACCGAGUAAAAGACAUACGCAUUCUUAAAUUAACCAAACUUUCAAAAAUUAUAAUAGUGCUACCAAGUAUUUACUCUUUAUGAUUGUCAAUUAUAAUAUUCUAAUCUACAUUCUCAGUCGUUUGAAUGAUUCCACACUGUUUUUAUUCUAGUAUCUCCUGCUCUUUGCCCGUUGGGUCCAGAGGUGGAAGACCAGGACAGUUUCAGCGCGGGAACAACAGGACCAGCUAGAGAGGGUGAGAGUUCACUUCAUACCAGAACUAGUCCAACUAACUAGUGUUUAGACUUAGGGGCCUUUUUAGCUGCUCUACCAAGCAUCAGAUACACUGCACUGUAUGUAUACGGCAUGGUUUCGGUACAGCAGGGGAUAAAACGAAACAUGAAAUUGUGUCUUUUGUUAUUUUUUAGUUUUUUAUUAAAGGGAUACUCCAACCCAAAAUGAAAAUUUUGUCAUUAAUCACUUACCCCCAUGUCGUUCCAAACCUGUAAAAGCUUAGUUUGUCUUCAGAACACAAUUUAAGAUAUUUUGGAUGAAAACCGGGAGGCCUGUGACUGUCCCAUAGACUGCCACCCCACAAGGAUGCGGUGUUUCUAUGUGUAUUUAGCUUUGAUUUGAAAGAAAACAGCACAUCCUUGUGGUGCGGAUGAUACAGAAGAGCAUACACAGCAUACGGUGAUAUGGAGAGACACAGAGGAGACCUUGACACUGUUAUUUACUUGACAUUCACAAGCCUCCCGGUUUUCAUCCAAAAUAUCUUAAAUUGUGUUCAGAAGAUGAACGAAGCUUUUACGGGUUUGGAACGACAUGGGGGUAAGUGAUUAAUGACAAAAUUUUCAUUUUGGGGUGGAGUAUCCCUUUAAAGGUGUGAAAUAAGUCUCUGAUGUCCCCAGAGUGUACACGUGAAGUUUUAUCUUAAAAUCCCUCAUAUAUUUUUUUAUAUCUUGCUGAAAUUGCCACUUUUAGGGAAUGAGCUGAAACGCUCUGUUUUUGUGUUUGUCCCUUUAAAUGCAAAUGAGCUGGUGCUCCCGCCUCCCUUUUCAGAAGAGGGCGGAGCUUCAAGAGUUCAUGUUCCUGCAAAACAGAUUGUACUGUGCAGUAAACGCGCGCUUAUGAAUUACACAGACGGGGAGCAUGGCACGAUAAAAAUAACGUCUCAUGGUAACUUCGCGUGUUAUCACAUUAUGAGCUCGUCAAAUUCAAGCGGUCGACUUCACAUUGCUUUCUAAUUCAAUUUUUAACUAUCACAUUCCUGUUUACGAUCAUUCUGGAAGCACGUGAAGGCGCAUCAGUGAAAACAGGCAGAGACAAUGGUAGGUUUAACAACAUUAGCUUUACAGAUAGCCGAGAAUCUCAAUAAAAAACAAAAUAUGACACGUGAUGCUUACUUU